GAUAAACGCUGGCGGCGCACAUAAGACAUGCAAGUCGAACGGAAGUCGUUUUAGUGAUUUUGAAAUGAAAGAUUUAUCCGGAUUUGAUGAUGAUCUAAAACAAUGGCUUUAGUGGCGGACUGGUGAGUAACACGUAAGCAACCUGCCUGUUAGAGGGGAAUAACAACGAGAAAUCGUUGCUAAUACCGCAUAUGCCAUAAGAACCACAUGGUUCUAGUGGGAAAGGAGUAAUCCGCUAACAGAUGGGCUUGCGCCUGAUUAGAUAGUUGGUGGGGUAACGGCCUACCAAGUCGACGAUCAGUAGCCGGACUGAGAGGUUCAACGGCCACAUUGGGACUGAGAUACGGCCCAGACUCCUACGGGAGGCAGCAGUCGGGAAUAUUGCGCAAUGGAGGAAACUCUGACGCAGUGACGCCGCGUAUAGGAAGAAGGUUUUCGGAUUGUAAACUAUUGUCUGCAAGGAAGAACAAGACUGUACCUGCAAAGAAAGCUCCGGCUAAC
rnacentral:rRNA from 1 species